GUGAUGAUUUAGAUUUCAAUGUUUAUGGUUUAAACUGAUUAACCCUGAUGAUAUUAUUCUAGGGCGGUCUGAGAAU
rnacentral:snoRNA from 2 species